GCAUGCAUCGCGUUGCCCUGCCUCAGGGGCCAGAGGCGGGUCCCAGAGGCCCGUGCCAUGGCAUGGCCUGCACCCCUGGCCUCUCACAGCCGCGAGGCAGCGUGCUGUAGCGCCUGCUCCUCCCUCAGCGCCUCGCCAGCCCAGCCGGGACCCUCCACACGCAUUUUUCUCCCAUUCAAAAUACACCAGAAGUUUUCCUGACACCACAGAGACCUAGGGCGGCGCGGAUUCAGUCGAAGAUGGAAGCAAAAACAAAUAUAAUCUCAUUGGCACGAGUGAGAAGCCACGUGCGGGACUGUGAAAUAGGAGCUCGGUGACCAGGAGCAGCCAACGCAGCAGAAAUAAAGGGGCGCUCGACGGGGGGACCGUUAUAAGGGAUGUCAAGCCCGUUAAAAGGAAGAGAAAGUCGUUAACACCUGGGGAAUGAAGAGCGUGGAAGGGAUGUGGGAGAGGAUGACGAGCUGACUGGAAACGGUGGCAGGUGGUUUCGAACUUGGGGAGCGACGGGCGUCUAAAGCUGCAUCUAGAAUGGACUGAAACGGGCGAAUCGCGCAAGUCGUUUAGACCGGCCGGCCGUGCAAAGUAAGACCGUUCACACCUACGAGCUUUUCAGGUAUUCCCUUUAUUCCAUUUGUACCAGCUGCUGCUUUGACGAACCAACUCCAGGGUGACACCUCGUGGCCUACACUUCUCUCCCUCUGUUUGGUUUAGGACAGAAUCACCGAACUGAAGCAAAAAUAUCAUCUUUUCCCCCUUCAGUCCCUCAAAAACAUCACCCAGGUCCUGCAUUUCAGCACACAUAAUGGCUCUCUCUCUCUUUCCCCAUGAGUGGGCUUGUUGACAGCUUUCAGGUGCUGGCAUUUAAAGCAAACCAAAGGUCUGGAAAUUCCCUACUGCCAUAUGCCAGUAUAAUCUAGUAUGACAAAGCUCUCUUGGGGAUUACCUACUGUGUAGAAAAGCACUCUUCACGUCUCUAGCUACCUCUCAUACACUCAUCACAGGCAGCUUCAUGCUUAUAAUUAUGCAGAGGGACAAUCCAUAUGCGUGGGAUGGCUUAUAAAUUGGGACGUUGUUAUAAGUAUAGCUACUGUUAUUUCUCAAGAGCAAGCGGCCUGUGUUUGGGAAUAAGAAGAACCAAAGUUUUGCUGAUGAUCUCAUGGGCGCAUGCAGAAGCAGCAAAAGCCCUGCCUGAAACCAAAGCCGAUUGCUUCCUACUUGCCACUUCCCUCACUCACAAAAAUAAACAAUGCUUGUAGCACUGACUCACAAACCUGCAAAAAGGCAAGUGGCUUAAAAAACUUCUAAUUGUUUCCUGAAGGAGGAAAAUUAAUGGUGGAUAGAAAGUGAACGGAGAAAGAGAUCCACAAAGGUCAACUUUAUUAGUAAGGAUCUUUGUCUGGCAUUCAUGAAGAAAGGCAAGGGUCAUGCAUCCUGAAAAUACCACUACAGGAAGCUCUGCACACCCUGGGUAUCACCCCCACACCCCCUUCACACAGCCGUUGGUUGAGCUGUCUUGCUUAAUGAUCAAAUGCUCAAAAAAAACUGUUCUGUGGCUUGUGGUUGACUUCUUUCUGCUUUUGGUACAACUCCCGUCUCUGGAGAGGCUGCUCGGUCUAUUCAAUUGUCACGGGCCUUGCAAAAAGCCAAACGUGAAUUCACCCCACAGUAAUCAAAAUUUGAUUUAAAAAGAGCUCAGGUGAUAGGAGGUAAGAGGGGAAGUCCCUUCUGCAGAGCAUGGGAAAUGCUCCUGGGACUGCAGAAUAGAAAGAUGUUCCUUCUUUACCGAAGAAAACCAUCUCUGUGAAUGCCCACGUCCUGGAGAGGGCUCUGAACACCAGUGUUAAUGAGGAGAACAUGGAAAGGGAGGAGAAAGGUGUUUGGAUGACUGUAUGCAGCAUGAUUGAAACCAUUACUUCAAUCCUGUGUCCAGUCUGGGUGCCCGCAUAUAAAGGAGGCUUUAUAUGACAAACUGGAAAAGGGUUCAGAAAAAGAGCUGCAAGAAUAGUCCAAGGUUUGGAAAAUGCACUGAUGAAAAAAGUUACCAGUGGUGAUUUCAGAGGUGAUUUGAUCACAACCUUUAAGUAUCUCCAGGGGAAGAAGGUAUCUCUUAAGAGUGGGAUCUUUUUAUCUAACAGGCAAAGGCAAAUCAAGCUCCAAGAGCUGGAAAUGGAAAAUAAGGAACACACAUUUAAACAGCAAGGGAAUUAUCUACUGGGGCAUCUACCCAAAGGGUGUAGUGGGUUUUCCAUCACUUGAAGGUUGUAAAUCAUGCUGGGGAGGGGUCUUUUUCUAAAAAAAUCUGCUUUAGCUUGGCCAGAAUCUCUGGGUGAAGUUCUCUGGCCUGUGCUGUCCCAGAAGUCAGGCAAAAUGAUUGCAAUAUUCCCUUCUAGCCUAGUAAGGUUGGCAUCUUAGCACCAGCAUGACACCCUAAACACAGAGGGAACUGUCACAAACCUACUUGGCUAAGGGAUUGUUUCAUGUAUCUCUCUUAUGUGUAAUCAUAACACCUUGAAAUACUGAUCGUGGGGCAGGCCAGACACUACGCAAACUUGGGACAAAGAGAGCUCACCAGCUAAGUAUAAAACAAGAGGUUAUAGAGGAAUACAGACAGACAGGGGAGUGCAAGGAGACAAUGAGCCCAGGUUGGCUAUGUGAUGGGUGGUGAUCUUUGUACAAAAGAUGCUAUGCUCUCUGAUCCAGGAAAGGGUUUAGUUUCUGUAACCUAGCUGCACUCUCCUCCUCACCCCCAUAUGUUAGUCCCUUGCUCAGGCACUCUGUCUUUCCCUUAUGGCUGUCAUUUUUGGUUCAUGAUUCUUAACAUUCUCUACAUUCAAUCUGUGCUUAAAGUGAAGCACACAUGUCCUGUAUGCCCUGGAUGGGGGUCUCAGGACAGAGCACCUUGCAGAAUGACAUCCAUAAGGAAGCAUGGGAGAAGUGUGUAUUACAGCUGCUUUCAGCUGGAUGGAUCUGUGCAGCUGGAUGUAUUGGUCCUAUACUACUAGCAACUAACCAAGUGCCACAAACUUGCUAAGUUGCUAAUUAUUUUGCAAGAAUAUAUGAAAACCAAUGUUUCUGAGAGAUGUAUUUUUGGAAUAACUGCCUGGGCAAUGGACACCAGGGGGAUAUUUUCUUUUUAAAACAUUGUGAGUGUAAAUCUGGAAGAAUUGAAUUGAAGGCAUUGGAAUUGUGCUGGGUGUAUAUCAGUGCCACUAGGGAGAAUUUGGUCCAUCUGAUGUCUCUUCACUGGCUUUUGUUCCUGUGGAAAUGAAAUAGAGCAGCUUGAGGAGCGAAUCCUCCAGGGCUUCUGCAGCACAUCAAACGCAAGAUUUUCAAAAGACUUCUUGGUGGGCUCCCCUCGAGGAUGUUCUUCCCAUUUCCUGUCCCCUCCUAUGUAUCCCAGAUGGGUUUGGCAGUGGAGCUUUAUCUGCUGAUAAAGAAUUCCCACUUUGCUUUCAAACAAUGAAGCCAAGCACUGGAGCCUGCCUUGCCUCUUUCUCUGCCUAGUUACCUUGGUGGUGACAUGUUUCUAAGCAUGGCAGUCAGAGCCCUUUUGUCUGUGUGCCUGGUCUGGAUUAGGAUGUGAAGGUGUGAUGGCAGAACACAGUGGGUAAUAUGUGUUAGCCAAUAUGUUUGAAAUGUCUAGCCGAGGCAAAGCAGCGAUUGCUCUAAUACAUGCAAGGCAAGUUGUCACUCACCUGGCUUCGCGCAUGUGAAAGGCAGUGUGUCCUGUCUACACUGGACUUUCCAGAGGUUGUUGGUCUGCUCGUGUUUAAUUACACUCCUGUUAAACUAGCUAGAGAUCUGUGGGACUGUAAGGAAACCCUGUGUUAGAAACUCAGGGGCAGAUGGACGUGACAGGGAGGCAGCUGUUAUGCAGAGAACACAGCUUUUAUCUUGUUAUUCCUUUGUGGGGGCCAGCCUGUUUGUCAUUCCCAUCUGUUCUCUUACAGACUCAGGGCAUGUCUACCCUGCAAGCACUGCUGUCACUGCAGUGUAGCACAGAUCUAUCCAUGCUACGUUUCAAUUAGCUAGCUUGGGAACUGGUAGUAAUGUAGCCAUGGCAGCACCAAAUUCAAUGCAAGCUGCAAAAAAACGCAGCCAAGGGCUGGGUGAAUACUCAGGGAGUUAGCCUGUGCUGAGCUCUGUGCUGCAGUAUGGACAGAGGGCAGAGCCUGUCUUCUGCUGCAGAGAGGGUUGGUGCCAUGGCCCUCAGCACAUAUACGAAGCCCAGGCUCCAUUGGGAUCCUGUCCAGAACUCAAGGUAUGGUGAGAAGAUUUUGUGCCUGCAGCUGAUGCUCACCCUUUUCAUGGGAGGGGGUGCUUCAUCAUCAAAAUGACCUGCGGAGAGAAUCACAGUGGGUGGUACACGGGCUCAGCCCGUCUCCGUGCAGCAGUCUGAGAUGUAUUGGCCUGCCGGAGCCCCCGUUCUCCUCUGCAGGGCCUGAAUAUGCCCAGGGGUUUUGAAUGGAGGAAGGUACCUGCCAAAGGGACCGGCUGGUUUCAGCAGAAACGGUGUGUCGCGGACUGUAUCAAGAAUCCGGAGCCACCCACCCUGCAUGGAAGCAGGUGUCCGAGUUGCAACAGAGCCUGUCAAUCCCAUCAGCCACCUUUGGACCCACAGAUAAGACAACCAUGGAAGAUGAUUAUCCUCGACUGCCAAGACUUGCUGGUACCUGCCAAAUGCCAUCUGUCUCUGGCACCGAAGUGAGAGGUCCAGGUGCGUAGAGGUUGCUGAUCGGUGCCCAAGAUCUGCUGCUGCUUGUCUCACCUGAGGAAUGAAGCAGUUGCAGCCUUGGCUUGAAAGCUAUCUUUGCUGCUCGGCUGAGUUCGCACCUCUGUGAGAUGAAUGGGGCCAUUCUCACCACACCUCUCUGAAUGAAUGGGGCCUUUCUUGCCCCUCCUACAACAGUUCCUGGUUCUCUACAGAGACUCAUCUCUGCCUCCUUGACACUCUGUCCAUGUUCUGUGCAACGCUAUUAGCAAGAGGCUUAACUGGCUUUGCUUAACUGAAAGCUGAGAUUCCUUAGGACAACAGCAGUUUGGGAGAGGUGCCACUUGGUAUAGGUUGGGUGUGUGCCCAGGCCCAGCAGUAACUGAUUCAAACAACACCCAACUGCUUGCCAGCUGCUGUUUGCAUGCCCGGUGCAGCAGUGCUGCCAGCGUAGUGAUGACGUUGAUAGAUGUGGUGACUUCCAAGGUUCCUGGUGACCUCUUGGGGCUCCCAGAGACAAAACACCUGCAUUAAGGAGCCUCUGUCUUCUUAGCGCUGGGUAUAGGUUGUAGCUGCUUUGGUCUAAGGACAGAGGCGGACAAUGCUUUUUGGGUAAAUCUGAUAUCUUUUAUUAGACCAACUCAAAUCACUGGAAAAAAAAUCUUCGUUGCAAGCUUUCAGGCACAAACAUCCUGGGUCAGUUAUCCAGCAAUACUUCUGAUGACCCCAGGAUGUCUCCCAAGAGACCUCUAGCAAUUUGCUGAAUCCUACCUGGAAAAUGGCUAGGAGUUGGCACUGCAGAGAAGCACCGGUUUCUCAUCUUGUCUCCCUGCUCAUCCUCUUCCCAGCUCCCCUUCUCCAGUGACUAAUUCCCAAACCCUUUCCCCUACACACACCUAGAUUCAAACCUGCCAGCAACUUAGCCCAGUGUCAUUUCUCUGAGUCAUCUGAGCUGCAUUGCUGGUAAUCCCUCCCCAAGGAUAACUCUCCAGCUCUGGGGUGUUUCUGCCUGAUCUCUUUUAUUUAACUACUUUUCCCCUUUCUUCCUUAUGAAGCCAUGAAGAGUCCUUGGAGGAAAGAUGACGGAGGCAGAUAUGCAGGGCGGGGGGGAAGACGCGCUUCCAGCCUGUGUCACUGUUAUUAAAGAUAGAUGAAUGGCAUCUCUCUGAACACAGGAGGCAAUGACGGAGGGGCUGUAACAUCACAGGGAGCUGCAGAGCAAACUGUGCCUGCAAGUCACCCCGAGGCAGCUGCCUCUCUUUGACAAGUGCUUUUUCACUCCUGGCCUCUUGGGUUUUAAUUUGCCUUUUAUAAAAAUGUGCUUGUCGUAUGCACUGACCUUGGGAAAGAAACAAUCACCCGGGCUGUCUCUUCUGGUUUGCUAUUCAGCUUCCAGCAGAGUUUCCCCUGGUAAUAGACCCCCUCCCCCUUGCACAGGGUUUAUAUAACGCACUACCACUGGAGACCAGUCCCUGAGUCCAUCCACCUCCUUGCGGGGUUUGGAGGUGUGCACGGUUCAGAUGCCACAUUGUGGUGCAUGCCUGAUGGAAGACAAAUCUGAGCUGUCACCGACCAUCCUGGCCUCAGCACGGAGCUACUCAUUUUGCUGAAGAUGCACAAGGCUGAAGGGUAUCCCCUGCAUUCACCUGAGUCUGCAAGGCUGAAGGAAGGAGAGAUGGGCAACACACACUGCCCAAGCCUGGGAAUAACAACACACAGGCCUUAUACCACAAUGUCCAUCUGUAGAGGACAAAGUGCUGCACGAAGAUCAGUAGCACUGACUCCUCUGUGCCCAUAGGGAAACCAAGGCACAAGUAGAUUAAGUGACUUUCCCAAGGACAUCCAACAGAGCUGGGUAUAGGGCCAAGUCUACUAAAUGCCAAUCUCAUGCUUAGCACAGUUGCCCUUUUCCCUGGCGUCACAGGCUUUCCCUCUCCCCACCCCUCUCAUCAAGCCUCCUCUGCUGAGCUUUUUCCCUCACAACAUCCCCCAUCCUUAUUGUGUCCGAAUAGCUGUCCUGUGUGCUGUAUUGCAGCAAAGAUGUGCCCCCCUAGGAUUUCACAGUGCAUGGCCGGGAUUUCACGACAGCAAUGGAAAUAGCACUCCAGGUCCAUGAGAGAUGCUCUGCACAGACUGCUGGGAAGGUAGAGAAGUGGUAACGCAGUAUUAAUGUUAGCAGUACAGGGCUCAGGACACACAGCUGAGCCAGGUUGAAUCCACCCUGUAGAGGCCAGGGCCACGCCAUUGCACAGACGUGUCUUUCCCCUAGCUGCAAUCUCUGCUCUUUUCAAGAUGGAAAAUCUUUCUCUCCCCCUCAGCCUCUCCCUCUCUCUUCCUUAUUUCCUGCUCCUUUGUUUUCUAUCAUCUGUUUCCUUAUAAAAUUACCUAAUUAUUAUUAUAAUCUCUGAUCCAGUCUCUGCAGUGGUUCUCAGGCAGAAACAACCGGAGAGAAGCUAAAGCACAUUGAGAAGCAAACAUAACAUUGGCAGGAAUCAAUGCAGCGCUUAUCACGUGUGCAGCUUUAAUCAGAAAGGCUUGUGGAUCUCAAUGGAUAUUUUCAGCUUGGUUUUUCUUAUUGGUUUACACACCUGAAAGCAUAAAGUUGAAAACUUCCUGCUAGAUGGGCUGCAAACCUUUGCUAGGUUCAUUCUAGCUUCUGAGUCCCUUGUUAUCUUCUGCUAAUUUAAUGCAUUUAAUGGUAAUAUUCUCCAUCCAUAUACCCCUACGCCAGUCAUAAACUCAAAAGCUUUUUUUCCCUUUUUUCUCUAGGGGAAGAGCAAUGAGUUUAAUUGUAACGAUUGUGUGACCUCACUGCUGCAGCCUUCUGUGUUCUUACAGCCAUCUCUUCUUUGUUUUGCAGAAACAAGCACUCUGAGGGCGCUGGUUAAUUUAUUAUUAAUAAUAGUAAUUAAUAGUGUGCCGGAUUACUGAACUCUAGCUGUGACCUGUAGAGGGGCUCAUCUGCUGAGAAUAUUCAGGUUAUUUACUACCCAUCUCUAGGGAUGGGCAGCAGUAUGCCUCUGUCUGUUAAAAAUUUCCUGUCCAUAUAUCACGGCUUAAUUAAAGCAGAGGACAAGUAACCCUGGCAACCGAAAGCCUCUCUCUGUCCGUAGGCCAGCAGUGACAUUUGUAGCAUCUCCCGAGAGAGUGUCCAUCUCCCUAGAAGUGAGAGGUCGAGUUACAAGCACGCAAGCUUUCAGUACAUGGGUGAGCAGCGUCUGCGAAGUGGAAGAGCCAAGGUCACACGCAACUCCUUCCUGGGAAAAGUGCCCUUGAAUUUCUCUUAAAUGCCUUUCCACUUACUGCAUCACAACCACAUCAUUAUGGUGGCAACUCAGGUGCUAUUAUACGAGCACUUAUAGUGCCUAUAAGAGGAUCUCCUUCACCUGUUGGCAACACGGGACUAUAUAUAAACUCUUGAGUGAUGCUGACUUCAUCAAGCAGAGGGCAGUGGUGGAUGCACACAGCUGCCAACAUAUUGGAGUGCUAAACAGUGACUAUUGGCACUAAUGGCCUGGACCCCUUUUUACAAAGCGGUGUAUAAACACAUGGUCUCUGCCCCAGAGAGCCACCCACCUUGGGGAAAAUGAUGUUAUUACCCUGCCAAAUCUCUCCCUGAGCUUGUGCUGACAUUUUAUCAUGUUCUAAAUAAGAAUGAUAAAAAUAAAACCCAGAGAAAUUCA